GGAAGAGGCAGCAGUGAUUCCGAAGUUGUCCUCGCGCCGUGGUUUGAAUAUUGAGAUCGUAGAUAGCCGUAAAGUAUAUUUCGUGCAGUGAGAAGGCGUGCAAACACUGCCGAACAAGAAAGGUUCGUGGCCUAAGCUGCAUGUGCCCGAUCACACCACAUCGGACAACGUCAUCGCUGACCCCACCAUCAGCUUCAGAGGUGUCCUGGGUACGCCCGGAAGAGGGUAUCGUACGCCAAAAGCGUGCCCUAGGCAGGGCGAGAACGAGCGACCGUUCACCGAGUUCAUUCGCUGCG